ACCUGUCCAUCCGUCUCCUCCAAAACCUAUCAACGGGCACGAUCAAUCAUGACAAUCCAACGGUUUAUAUUAAAUCUAAGAAAACCACUACAUAAACAACACUUGCUCGACAGCUUACGUUACGAAAGAUACUCCAAACGCCAAGAAGCUUCGUUUUCUGCUCCGAAACGGUAGCGUAUUAGGGUUUUGGUUAGGGUUUGAAAGAUGGCAGAGCAUGAUAAGGACGAUUCAGUGGUUGAAUCGGUGACGGAGAAGAUAUCGGAGAAGACCCACGGCCAUGAUUCAUCAUCGGUUUCUGAUUCCGAUCACGAGAAAUCGAAAUCUA
rnacentral:lncRNA from 1 species